rnacentral:rRNA from 1 species
UACGGAGGGUGCAAGCGUUAUCCGGAUUCACUGGGUUUAAAGGGUGCGUAGGCGGGUAGGUAAGUCCGUGGUGAAAUCUUCGAGCUUAACUCGGAAACUGCCUUUGAUACUAUCUAUCUUGAAUAUUGUGGAGGUAAGCGGAAUAUGUCAUGUAGCGGUGAAAUGCUUAGAUAUGACAUAGAACACCUAUUGCGAAGGCAGCUUACUACGCAUAUAUUGACGCUGAGGCACGAAAGCGUGGGGAUCAAACAGG